AUAACGCCCUGUGGUGAUUUGUCCGACCGGCUUGCGGCCACAUUAAACAAACGCUAAAGAGGCAAUGGACGCGGAAGU
rnacentral:ncRNA from 2 species